UCAAGAAACUUCCACAAUGGGCGAAAGCCUGAUGGAGCGACGUCGCGUGAUGGACGAAGUGCUUCGGCACGUAAACAUCUUUUAUGUGGGAUGAAAUUAUUGACAGUACCACAUGAAUAAGGGGCUCCUAACUCUGUGCCAGCAGGAGCGGUAAUACAGAGGCCCCAAGCGUUAUCCGGAAUCACUGGGCGUAAAGGGUGUCGAGGCGGUUGUAUUAGUCGUUCGUAAAAUCUACGAGCUUAACUUGUAGGCGGCGAACGAAACGGUACGACUUGAGGUUUGGAGAGGUGCGUGGAACUCACGGUGUAGGGGUGAAAUCCGUUGAUAUCGUGGGGAACACCAAAGGCGAAGGCAGCGCACUGGCCAAAAUCUGACGCUCACACACGAAAAGCUAGGGUAGCGAAGAGGAUUAGAUACCCCCGUAGUCCCUGAGCGGGCUGGCAAGGC
rnacentral:rRNA from 1 species